AACUUUCAGCAACGGAUCUCUUGGUUCUGGCAUCGAUGAAGAACGCAGCGCAAUGCGAUAAGUAAUGUGAAUUGCAGAAUUCCGUGAAUCAUCGAAUCUUUGAACGCACAUUGCGCCCCCUGGUAUUCCGGGGGGCAUGCCUGUUCGAGCGUCAUUUCAACCCUCAACCCCUGCUGGGUGUUGGGCCGUGCCGGGCUCACCGGCUGGCCCCAAAAUCAGUGGCGGCGCCACCUUGGCUCCACGCGCAGUAGAUUUCUCUCGCGUCCGGAGGCCCUGGUGGCAGCUGGCCAGGCGAAACCCCCAACUUUCUCAGGUUGACCUCGGAUCAGGUAGGGAUACCCGCUGAACUUAAGCAUAUCAAUAAGCGGAGGCU
rnacentral:misc_RNA from 1 species